AUACGGAGGGUGCAAGCGUUAUUCGGAAUCACUGGGCGUAAAGGACGCGUAGGCGGGUUGGCAAGUCAGAUGUGAAAUCCUACAGCUUAACUGUAGAACUGCAUUUGAAACUGCUAACCUAGAGUAUGGGAGGGGGAGAUGGAAUUAGUGGUGUAGGGGUAAAAUCCGUAGAUAUCACUAGGAAUACCGAAAGCGAAGGCGAUCUCCUGGAACAUAACUGACGCUAAGGCGUGAAAGCGAGGGGAGCAAACAGGAUUAGAUACCCUAGUAGUCC
rnacentral:rRNA from 1 species